rnacentral:lncRNA from 1 species
AUUUGCACUGUUUUACAGGUGGAGAAUUAGGAAUAUAGAGACAAUAAGAAAAAAGCGUUAGCCUGACAAAGUCAGAGUGCUAGAAGAGAGCUUUCAAUAGCUACAGAUAACAUUUCCUCUCAUUCUUACCACUCAGUGUUUUUCUUUAGUCAUUACCUUAAUUAUAACUCUUACUUUAUAAGAAAAAAAACUAAAAAGAAAAAAACACUUUUAUUUUAAAAUUUACAUUUUUCUUCAUGCACUAUAUAAUAAACACGGGAGUCAAAUAUUCUUUUUUUUUUCUGUCUGACAGACUGAAGAUUGUCAUCCAGUUUUUACAUUCUUGAUUCUGGGGUGUGUAUUUCAGCUUUGAGUGUUUCAAGCAACAGAUUUGUUGAUAAUUUAUGAUUCUUUAUAAUUUCUAGGUGCAUACAUAAAAUCAGUCAUGUUUUAGUAUGCAUUUCAAAGACAUAAAGCUUUAUUUUUUUCUUAAGAAAUACGGAGUGUAAUAUGUUUACUAUAAUUAGCUGAUUUUCUUUCAAGAAAGUUUGUGGGGCUUUUUUUUUUUUUAUAGUAUUUGUGUGGAAGUAAUCGAAAAGACAACAUAUUUAUUGAUCCUGGAUACCAAACAUUUGAGCAAGAAUUGAAUAAAAUACUGCGAAGCUGGCAACCAAGCAUACUUCCAGAUGGUAAUGCUAUUUUCACUAAAGGUGUUGCUCUCUUGAUAUUAGGAUUGUUAUUUUUACAGAGUAUGUUUGAAAAUAUUAUAAUUAAGUCACUUAAAUUAGAUAACAUUUUCUGAACACUUACUCGAGCUCAUCUGCCUUUCAUCUCUUGUUGAAUUAGAAACAAAUGUGGUCAAUAACUAGUGUUUAUGAAGAACUUUGUAAGAAAUGUAAUCUACUUUCUCUGGAGUACGAGACUGGAUGUUCAUGUCUUAAGCCUUCCAGUGGAGCUUCUGAUGUAAAUUUCUCUUAAACCACUGUUUUCAGUCCGUGAAGAAAAUGUGUAUGUAUGUGGAGUCAUCAAUUUUUUUCAGGAAUUUAAAUUCCUGAAUUUUAAUUUUAAAAGGAUUUACACUGUUUUCUGACCACUGUUUGCUUGUCCUACUGAAGAACAGAAGCAAACAUCCAGUCCCUUAUUCCAUAGAUAAUAGUUCCAUAGUAGCCUCUGUAUUGUUAAAGAGCUGCAUAGGUAAUUCUAGAAUUAUUCUAGUUGAUCUAAUAUGAAAGGAGAAUUGGUAUAGAUUUGUCCUUAAAUUAACUGUGUCUGCUUCUAGAUGGUUAAAUGAAAACUUUUAUUUAUUAUAAUUCUUUUAAAAUAGUUCUCUCUAUUUAAGGGUCAAUAUUCUCUCGAGUUGAAGAAGACUAUCUCUGGAGGAUAAAACAACUAGGAUCACACUCUCCAGUAGCUCUUCUGAAUACACUGUUCUACUUUAACACUAAGUAUUUUGGCCUGAAAACAGUGGAACAACACUUAAGACUUUCCUUUGGCACUGUGUUUAGGCAUUGGAAAAAAAAUCCUUUAACGAUGGAAAACAAAGCGUGUCUUCGAUACCAAGUGUCUUCCUUGUGUGGAACAGAUAAUGAAGAUAAAAUUACUACUG